GCCGGUGUGGCGGAAUGGCAGACGCACCAGACUCAAAAUCUGGCGAUGGCAACAUCGUACGAGUUCAAGUCUCGUCACCGGCA
rnacentral:tRNA from 1 species